GUAAAUAUAGUUUAAUAAAAACAUUAGAUUGUGAGUCUAAAAAUAAAAGUGUAAAUCUUUUUAUUUACC
rnacentral:tRNA from 1 species